UUCAAAUUAAUUAGAAUACUGUUUAUUAUCUAAAGGUAGUAUAAGUAGUAUAUUAGAAGAGUAUACGUAGUAUAAGGGUAUUUCUGGAAAAAAAAGAAAUGGCAUGGUAGUUAUAUGGUGUUAAUGUAUAUGUUCAAUGUUUAGUCUGGCCGAAUGUUAUAUGGUACCAGUCCGGCCCAUCCAUUCGACGGCGACUAGGGUUGCUUGAGGUCGGCCCAUCCACGGUGAGUUACGGCGACGGCGACUGGCGAUGGCAUCUCGAUUUGCGGGGGAAGGCGCGGCGCCAGUAGCCGCCUGGCGUCAGGAGCGGGUGAAGCCGGUGGCAGGAGAGGCGGAGGCGGUGAGGUUCCUCGAUUCGCGGUGAGGUUCCUCGAUUCGCGAUGGCGGCGGCUUGAUUCACGGCUGUGGCGGCUCGACCCGCGGCGGCGACGGCGCGGCGGCUCGAGGCUGCUCGAUUACCGGCGGCGGCGGCAGGUCGAUUCGCGGCGGCGGCGGCAGGUCGAUUCACGGCGGCGGCAACUCUAUUCGCGACAGUAGGUGCUCGACUCGCGGACACCGCACAUGUUUGCAAGACGCUGACGGGCUCCGACACCAGCACGCACGGCGGCUUCUCCGUGCCGCGUCGCGCCGUCGAGGACUGCUUCCCACCGCUGAACUACAGCCUGCAGAGGCUGUGUCAGGAGCUCGUUGCCGAAGAUUUGCACAGCACGGAGUGGAAGUUCCGACAAGAGAGUUUCUUCAUUAGUAUAUGAGCUGCACAUUAUCUUGUCUCCAUACAGGCAAGUUUGACUAUGGCACGUGAUCAUCAGAAAUGAUAACACAGUGUUCAUUUGAGGCUAAGUCAAAUGAACUCGUUAUACCCUAUUGGAAGUUCAUGAGAAGCUUGAACCAACCAUUUUCAGUUGGAAUGGGAUGCAGAAUGAGAUAUGAAAGUGAAGAUGCUUAUAAAAGAAGGUGCACUGGGAUAAUAAUUGGAAGCAGAGAGGCAGACCCCAUGUGGCAUGGUUCAAAAUGGGAAUGUUUUGUGGUAUGUUAUCUUCUAUCUUGAUUUGUACAUAAGACGAAUGGCAAUAUUAGCUUUCAGUUUUAGCAUUGUUUCUAUGAAUUAUUAAUGACAUGAUUGCACGUAGAGUUAAUGUCUGCGUCAAGUUGUACUAGGUUGACAUCCUUCCUUACAUGGUGGCUAUUCUAAAUCCUGAACUUACUGGAAGAAACAAAUACAUUACUAUAUUCACUCCUUGUGCUAAGCUUGAAAUAAUCGAUGUAAUUUCCGUUGUUCAUCUUUUUA